rnacentral:tRNA from 1 species
CCGCCUUUGGUGAAAUGGAUAUCACACGGCUCUUCUAAAGCUGCAUUCCGAGUUCGAAUCUCGGAGGGCGGGCCA